CAUACUUCUUCUCCAUCUUCGUUAGUAUGGCCGAGCAAGGGCAAAGCGUCUCUUUCGACAGUGGCGGCGGCGGCAGCAACUCGUUAGGAGUACAAGAGCCCGAAAUUCUGGGCAUAGAUGCCAAGAACAAUGCAUAACUCUUCCCAUGGAACACUCAUUUGAGCAAGAUUAUGUGAGUGAGUGGUGUUUUAUAGUGACUCCGAGGCUACUCGAUCUCCGGACCUCAACCUCGGACCUUCACAAUGGUUAGGAAAGGGCCAUAAAACACGCACUUGUGCCAAACCCUAAAUGGGCUCCGCAUCGGAGACUAGCAUUAUUUUAGUUUGAAAAUUGUGUGAAUUGUACCCGGAGUUUAUGUGAUUGUUACUGUGUAUGACAGCUGUGUGAGUUGUAGUUUAUGUGAUUGUUACUGUGUAUGACAGCUGUGUGAGUUGUAGCUCAAAUUUAUGUAAUCCAGUUCAUGGAGAAGCGUACCUUAUUCUAUGUAAUAUCAAAACAUAAUUUACACGAAAUUCAACAGCAAUUCUGGAGCAAUGUUUGACGCAUUUAAAACUAUGGCAUUCCAAAGCGUGACACAAUUGGGCUCUGUGUUCACUUCUCAACGGACAAAACAUGGAAUACAGAAAAUAAGGGCACGGGGACUAUUGACAUAAUUCUACUCUAAUAGAAAUACGUAGAUUUCCAGAUCCGAUGAAUUGUAUAGAAAAACUGGAAAACAUAACAAAAAGUUAG